rnacentral:rRNA from 1 species
UACGUAGGGGGCUAGCGUUGUCCGGAAUCAUUGGGCGUAAAGAGCGUGUAGGCGGCCCGGUAAGUCCGCUGUGAAAGUCAAAGGCUCAACCUUUGAAUGUCAGUGGAUACUGUCGGGCUAGAGUCCGGAAGAGGCGAGUGGAACUCCUGGUGUAGCGGUGGAAUGCGCAGAUAUCAGGAAGAACACCAAUGGCGAAGGCAGCUCUCUGGGACGGUACUGACGCUGAGACGCGAAAGCGUGGGGAGCGAACAGG